CCUAUCCAUGGCCAGGUUGAAGCGAGGGUAAAACCUCGUGGAGGACCGAACCACGUUGCUGUUGAAAAAGCAUGGGAUGAGCUGUGGAUAGCGGAGAAAUUCCAAUCGAACCCGGAGAUAGCUGGUUCUCUCCGAAAUAGCUUUAGGGCUAGCGUCGAGUAUGAGUAGUGGAGGUAGAGCACUGAAUGGGCUAGGGGGCAUAGCGCUUACCGAACCUUAUCAAACUCCGAAUGCCACAUACUUUGAGCUCGGCAGUCAGACUACGAAUGAUAAGAUCCGUGGUCAAAAGGGAAACAGCCCAGAUCGUCAGCUAAGGUCCCAAAGUGUAAGUUAAGUGGGAAAGGAUGUGAGAUUUCUAAGACAACUAGGAUGUUGGCUUAGAAGCAGCCAUUCAUUAAAAGAGUGCGUAAUAGCUCACUAGUCGAGAGAUCUUGCGCCGAAAAUGUAACGGGGCUAAACUUACC
rnacentral:rRNA from 1 species